AACGAACGCUGGCGGCAUGCCUAACACAUGCAAGUCGAACGAGACCCUCGGGUCUAGUGGCGCACGGGUGCGUAACGCGUGGGAAUCUGCCCUUUGCUACGGAAUAACUCAGAGAAAUUUGUGCUAAUACCGUAUAAUGUCGAAAGACCAAAGAUUUAUCGGCAAAGGAUGAGCCCGCGUAGGAUUAGCUAGUUGGUGAGGUAAAGGCUCACCAAGGCGACGAUCCUUAGCUGGUCUGAGAGGAUGAUCAGCCACACUGGGACUGAGACACGGCCCAGACUCCUACGGGAGGCAGCAGUGGGGAAUAUUGGACAAUGGGCGAAAGCCUGAUCCAGCAAUGCCGCGUGAGUGAUGAAGGCCUUAGGGUUGUAAAGCUCUUUUACCAGGGAUGAUAAUGACAGUACCUGGAGAAUAAGCUCCGGCUAACUCCGUGCCAGCAGCCGCCGUAACAC
rnacentral:rRNA from 1 species